rnacentral:rRNA from 1 species
UUCGACCCCUUCCGUGUCGAAGCUUACGCGAUAAGCUCACCGCCUGAGGAGUACGGCCGCAAGGCUAAAACUCAAAGAAAUUGACGGGGACCCGCACAACCGGUGGAGUAUGUGGCUUAAUUCGAUGCAACGCGAAGAACCUUACCUGGCCUUGACAUGCAUUGUGUCGUCGGUGAAAGCCGGCUAGUCCUGGAAACAGGACGCUUUGCACAGGUGCUGCAUGGCUGUCGUCAGCUCGUGUCGUGAGAUGUUGGGUUAAGUCCCGCAACGAGCGCAACCCUUGUGGUCAGUUACUAACCGGCUUAGCCGGAGGACUCUGGCCAGACUGCCCUGUCAAACGGGGAGGAAGGUGGGGACGACGUCAAGUCAGUAUGGCCCUUAUGGCCAGGGCUGCACACGUACUACAAUGCCCGGUACAAUGUGAACCGAAACCGCGAGGUGGAGGAAAUCGCUCUUGAAAACCGGGCCCAGUUCGGAUUGGAGUCUGCAACUCGACUCCAUGAAGUCGGAAUCGCUAGUAAUGGCGUAUCAGCAACGACGCCGUGNUACGUUCCCGGUUCUGUACACACCGCCCGUCACAUCAUGGA